rnacentral:rRNA from 1 species
AAUGAAAAUUACCUGAGGACUACGAACGAUAUCUCUAUUGCGGUUAGUUUAAAACUCAAAAAGCUUGGCGGUGCCUUAAACUUUUCAGGGGAACCUGUCUCUUAAUCGAUAGUCCACGAUAUACCUAAUUUUUUUUACUAGUAUGUAUACCGUCGUCAACAGGUGACUUUUAAGAAAACAAAAGUCAGCAGGAAAAAAGCUUGCUUUUUAUGUCAGAUCAAGGUGCAGCUUAUAAAAAAAUGAGGAUGGGUUACAAUUAAUACAUUUUUAAUUACGGAAAUAUGGAUGAAAUUCAUUAUUGAAGGAGGACUUGAAAGUAAAAAUAGAGUUAUAUAAAUAUUUUGAAUGCAGCUCUGAGGCGUGC